rnacentral:rRNA from 1 species
UACAGAGGUCUCAAGCGUUGUUCGGAUUUAUUGGGCGUAAAGGGUGCGCAGGCGGUGUGGUAAGUUUGGUGUGAAAUCCUGGGGCUCAACCCCAGAAUUGCACUGAAUACUGCCAUGCUAGAGGACUGGAGAGGAGAUUGGAAUUCACGGUGUAGCAGUGAAAUGCGUAGAUAUCGUGAGGAAGACCAGUGGCGAAGGCGAAUCUCUGGACAGUUCCUGACGCUCAUGCACGAAGGCUAGGGGAGCAAACGGG